rnacentral:rRNA from 1 species
CCCUUAGAUGUUCUGGGCUGCACGCGUGCUACACUGAUUAUUUCAACAAGUGUUUUAACUGGAGAGUUUGCGUAAUCCUGAAAUGUUAUCGUGAUGGGAGUAGAGUAUUGUAUUUGUUAAUCUUUAACGAGGAAUUCCUAGUAAGUGUAGGUUUAUAAGUUGUUCUGAUUACGUCCCUGCCCUUUGUACACACCGCCCGUCGCUCCUACCGAUUGGGUGAUCCGGUGAAUAACUCGGACUGCAGCUAUUCGGGAGACCGUUAGCUUGUGGAAAGUUUAGUAAAUCUUAUCACUUAGAGGAAGGAGAAGUCGUAACA